UCUGUCUGUCUGUCUGUCUGUCUGUCUGUCUAUCUGUAGGUUCCAGCUGUCUGUCUGUCUGUCUGUCUGUCUGUCUCCAGGUUCCAGCUGUGAUCAUUGAGACCAUCAGGAUAUUUAAAUGAACUGAUGAUCACAAAGAUCUUCUGCUCUGAUUUUAUCUGACAGGUUUUAAAUGUUUGAUCUCAUUCAUUCAUUUGUCACAAACUGAAAUGUUUCCGUUAUAUUUCAGUAAGAUGUUAAACUUGAAAAGUCCACAAUUUCUGGAAGAUUAGUAUGUUGUGUUUCUAACUAAAUAAAGUUAUUUAAAUGUUAUUAAUUUAAAUGUUCUUUGCUGACUGAUAUCUGAAAAUGUUGCAGCUCUAACUGAUCAUAUUAAACUUCUGAUGAUUUGUUGAAUUAGAACCACAAAACACCAAUAAAGUUGACUUGACUUGA